GGUGUCCGCGGGACCUGGAGGUGCGGCGUGGCACACCUGCUUUUUCCUCCCUGGAUUCAAUCUCAAAGCACUUCCUUCUCUUUUGCCUUCUCUUUUUCCUCAAAGUUUUCCCACUUCCCUCUUCUCUUCUGUUUUCCUUGCUUUUUCACAUCUUUUCGGUUCACUCUCCGAGUGUCCGAUUCCUUCACCUCCUUGCCUUUGCCUCUGUGGCCCCCGUCCUUAUUCUUAAAUAUGUAGUAACAUGGAGCAUACUGGUGAGAGCUUGUGGACAAAUGUAUAGGAUCAAGAAUUCACAUCGUGAUGAAGAGUGAUAAGGAAAUUGUUGGUACUCUUCUAGGAUUUGAUGACUUUGUCAAUAUGGUACUGGAAGAUGUCACUGAGUUUGAAAUCACACCAGAAGGAAGAAGGAUUACUAAAUUAGAUCAGAUUUUGCUAAAUGGAAAUAAUAUAACAAUGCUGGUUCCUGGAGGAGAAGGACCUGAAGUGUGAAUGAGUUUCCUUGACUUACACUAGAUUUUGUUUUGGCUUAUAAUGACAAGAAAAUGGAAUUUUUUUUCCCACUUUCUAAUGUUUAAAUCCCAUAAAGCUAAGUUUCCCGUUAAAGGGAAGUGCUUUGAAGAUGUGUACCCAUUUUUGUAAGUUAAUCAUGAUUAUCCUGGAAAAAGAAGAAAAGAGCUUCUUCUUUGC
rnacentral:lncRNA from 1 species